GAUGAAGAACGUAGCGAAAUGCGAUACUUGGUGUGAAUUGCAGAAUCCCGUGAACCAUCGAGUCUUUGAACGCAAGUUGCGCCCGAAGCCAUCAGGUUGAGGGCACGUCUGCCUGGGCGUCACAUAUCGUUGCCCAAUGCCUAUUGCAGUGCAAUAGGAAUUUCUAGGGCGAAUGAUGGCUUCCCGUGAGCGUUGUUGCCUCGCGGUUGGUUGAAAAUCGAGUCCUUGGUAGGGUGUGCCAUGAUAGAUGGUGGUCGAGUUUGCACGAGACCGAUCAUGUGUGCGCUCCCCAAAAUAUGGACUCUUUGACCCCACACGCGUCUUUUGACGCUCAUGACGAGACCUCAGGUCAGGCGGGGCUACCCGCUGAGUUUAAGCAUAUCAAUAAGCGGAGGA
rnacentral:misc_RNA from 1 species